rnacentral:lncRNA from 1 species
AUGAAACAAACGAUGCAUAUGUAACAUAUAAGUUUUCCAAGAAAUAAAGCAAUUAGUGUUCGCUAUACUGAAAGAAAUGAUCGUGACACAAUGACCAUUAAGAGGAGUAGAGAUACGAAAAUCUACUCAGUAGGUGUGAAAGUCUAAAUUUCAACAAAAGAAAUUUGAGGACUUUACCUGGGGUUUCGUGUGACGACCAAUUGUUAGGUGACAUUACCAUGGAAUGUCGAACAUAUCGUAUUCGUCGUUAAUAAGAUAGGGGGAAUACGAAGGCAUGCGUCUUCUCCCGAGCAUGACUCGUGUCGUUUGCAGGACCGCGUGCCAAACCGCCGCUUCCUGACCGAUAGUUCUCCUGCUGACAGGAAUCUAGUGUCGUCGUUGAAUUACGCCAUCGUUUCUUCUCAAAGGCCUCGCCUUGAUAGUCGUAUGUGUCGAACUUCAACCCCCGUUGAUAUAUAGCUUAAGUUUCACGUAUACCUGUGCAUUAGUGUUUCGUCUCGCGUAGAAUGUGAUGUACUCCGACAUCUGUUGACAUAAAAUUUGGGUUCCAUGUAUCCUCGUGCACUAGCGUCUGUUGUGCGUAUGCUGCCUGCUCGGGAAGU